AUAUAUUUUCUUUCACAAUAAAUAAUAACAAUAACAAUGAUAAAUAAAUACAUCUACUCUUACAAUAUAUAACUAGUAGUUUUUGCAGAAUGACUAAAAUACCUCGUCCCUAGCCCUACACCACAUGGCACUGGCAGGGUAGAAUUGGAAAACACGGAACAACCUUUGCUGCAGUUCCCUAUAUAAAUAUUAGCCACUGCAGAUGUUCAACCAGAUUAGGGUUUCUGUUGCCGUCACACUCGCUUUCUGAAUGAGAUGUAUCUGCUUUGAUGCUUCAACAAAACCCUAAUCUCGAUGGGCUGAAAUAAGAAAUUUGUACUGUAAUUUCAUUGUUGAAAUCUCAGAGGGUGAAUCUGAAGUUGAAUCCGUGAAGUUCAAGCAUUUACGUUUAAGUGUCUGAAUGUCACUCCAGGAAAGGUCAAAGAUGAAUAUUUCAGAUUUUGGUUGAAUUUCUGUGACUUUGGAAGAUCGAGACAUAAAUUUCUAUCAGUUUGUUUGUUUUUUUAAUUAAGAACCCAAUAUUAUAAAGUUUUGGUUCUAAUUCUCAAAAAUAUUCAUUUUUAUUUUGUUUCUAUGUUGUUUCUUUUAAGUAAUCACAAAAAUAUUUGUAAUUAGAUCAAUA